rnacentral:lncRNA from 1 species
ACAUGCAGUUGGUGCCUAAUCAAUUCAACUUGGUCACUGUUUCUUUUCACUCCUAGUAAGCCUCCCCACAGUAUCUUCACUUAUGUCCUCUGUGGAUAAAUCCAGUAUUUGGGGAAGUUUAAAAAUAUCUUCCCCUCUUGGGGCCACAGAAGGGUCCAGGGGAUAUCCUCUGCCUGGGUUUCUGGAAUAGCUGGUUGUGCUCCUUGGACAGACCGCGACCCAGCCAAGUGCCAUGCAUCUGGGUUUCCAGGGCCUUUUUUUUUUUUUUUUGGGGACAGAGUCUCGCUCUGUCACCGAGGCUGGAAUGCAGUGGCACGAUCUCAGCUCACUGCAACCUCCGCCUCCCAGGUUCAAGCGAUUCUUCUGCCUCAGCCUCCCAAGUAGCUGGGACUACAGGCGCCCACCACCAUGCCCGGCUGAUUUGUGUAUUUUUGGUAGAGAUGGGGUUUCACUAUGUUGGCCAGGCUGGUCUUGAACUCCUGACCUCGUGAUCUGCCCACCUCAGCCUCCCAAAGUGCUAGGAUUACAGGUGUGAGCCACCGUGCCCGGCAGGGGCCAUUUUUUUUUUUAAAGGCCCAACUCAUGGCGACUGAAACCACACAGACCUAACUGUGAGCAGAGGCAACCACCAGAAUCCUCCCAUUAAGAGGAGAUUGAAAAUCAGUGUGCAGCUCCAGUUGCCAGUCAUGGCUGGCUUUAUGUGGGGGACUGUUUAUAUUUCUGCUUCCUCCUUGUUCGCUGCAAAAGAAGAGUCCCCAGGCUUCAUGUCUCUCCUGGCACCCUAGGGGGCAUCCUCAGCUUGAUCUGCUCUGUGCUUUGGUCAGUAGAUGGGGGUUCGCCUUGGUUUUCCACCUGGAGAGACCCUGACUUGGGUUGGGCAAAGCUUCUUCCCCAUGGUCCAAAUGGAUGUUCAGAUGGGGCGCAGAGGACCUCUGAGGAGUUGGCGAACAGAUGCUGCAAAGCAGUCGUGAAGUUUUUCUUGACCCUAAUGUUCACUGUUCCAUGUAUGCCCUAAGUGCAAACUCCAUGCACACCCUCUUGAUUCCUGAACAGCUCCUGCGUCUUGGGUAGCCCGAGUUUGACUUCUCAGUAAGUUCUUGAGUGAACCCCAUGGCCACAUGCUCGAGACCCUUCACUGGGACCGCAGCUCAAUGGCUGCAUUCUCCACAGAUGCGACUAGGGACUCCUGCUGUCCUCUCCCAACCUCGCCACCGAACCUGCUGUGAAAUGAUCUAUUUUCACAAUCAAAUUCAGUUCGAUUUUGAUUCUGAGAAUUUCAUGAGGCCCUGGAGAAAUACUCUGAGGCUAUGGUACAUGUUACCACUCAAGGUCCUGUCUCACACGGAGGAGAUAUUGGCCGCCCGUUGCGGAGUCCGGAUCCCACAUCAGACACAGUUGUGCAUGUUUAUGCUUUUCAUCCUUGCAGCCAGGCAGACUGAGAAAUGGCAGGCAGUGUCACAUGGCAGGAGCGUGGGCCUGACCCUGUCCAGCUCUGGGGCCUGAGACCUCUUUGCCCCACACCCCGCCCCCCUCCCCGCCACCGCCCUGCAUCUCACCCUCUCCUCUGAUCCUCACAGCAACUUCUCUAGCUAAUGAGGUGGACAGAGCUUAACCUCACCAUUGUGCCAGUGAGGAAAUGGAGGUUGCACGUUUGCCCAAGGCCACGGGAGGCAGGAGGGUGGAAGCAAGGCCCGUCCUGUGCAUGGUGAUCUACUCUGGGUUUUCCCAAGCAGGGCCAGGAGCCCAGUGCUGUGUUAGCAAACGGGAUCUCAAAAAACACAACAACAACAAAACGCGGCAUCCUGACGUGUCGCCCUCGUAAAUUCCUGUGCUGUAAAGACUCUCCUGUGGAUAAGUUCAAGCCUCAGCAGUUUAACAGGCGGUUUGUGGAAUUCCUAACUCGCACCACUGGUUCCGCCCAGGCUGGUCGCCAAGCCCCUGAUGCCUGGGGCUUUCUUACCUCUAAAUGGCCCACAUCUGACUUCUCUCCUGGGUACAGCAGAGAAUUCAACUGAGAUAGCAGGAAGCAUCGCACAUGGACUGCUCUCCUGCCAUCCUACCAUUGUUAAAGCAGGGGCAUCGGAAGCCAAGAACUCCUUGGGUUUUCCAUGAUGAUCAGCUAGCUGCACGGUGGCUAGUGGCACCGUGGCUAGCUGCAUGGUGGCUAGUUGCACCGUGGCUAGUGGCCUUAUGCCUAGCUGCACUGUGGAUAGCUGCACCGUGACUAGUGGGAUGGUUAGUCAUUCGUUUAAAAAUAACCACCCUCCAUCCACCUACACUUGCAAGAAGAAAUUUAGUUCUUACAUGUUAUUAACCGGCCUCUUAAAAAAGAAAAUAAAUACGUUUCCAGGAUGAUGAAGACUUUCUAAUCCCUUUAGCCAUUUUUUUUUUGGCUUCCUAAACCCAGGGAGCAGGGACAGAUGCAGGUGGGCAGAGCCAGGGGGAGCAGCAGAAAGCCACACAGAGGAAGGAGGCCACCAGCCUGGACUCACACACCCUCCACGGGAAACCCACUGUCCUCCUCUCCACUGCAGCUAGUGCUGGUGGGAUUUUCAGUGUGAGAUGGAAUUUGGGGAAACCCCCCUUCUAUAAGAUUAUCUUUCUCUCCUAACACCCUUAAAGGCUCACAGUCUGGCAGCAGCUGAGAGUGGGGUUUGCCGGGUUAGUGCCAAUGGCUCGACAUGGCCCUUUGUGUUCUGGUAUAAAAUGAAGUGAUUGAUGGGACAGAGUCAAACAUACUGAGGAACAGUCAUAGCAAUUCUAUUUCCGGCAUUUCCCCCUCUCCGGUCAUCUGUAAUAGCUAAUAUUAAGUAAAUGUAAACCACUUUGGUAUGGAAAAAAAGAGUUGGACAACCUUAAUGCUCCUCCUCCCCCAUCAACUGUGCCCUUCAAAACUCAGGAUUCAGCCCGUGUCACCGGGGCUGGGGGGUGAAAUGCCCGGUGCAGGUGGAAAGAGCCUAAUGUCUGAGAGAAGGAAAAUGACUCUUUGUUGCUACAGAA